GAUGAACGCUGGCGGCGUGCUUAACACAUGCAAGUCGAACGGAAAGGCCCUGCUCUUGUGGGUUGCUCGAGUGGCGAACGGGUGAGUAACACGUGAGUAACCCGCCCUUGACUUUGGGAUAACUUCAGGAAACAGGGGCGAAUACCGGAUAGGAGCUCCUGCUGCACGGUGGGGGUUGGAAAGUUUCGGCGGUUGGGGAUGGACUCGCGGCUUACCAGCUGGUUGGUGGGGUAGUGGCAUACCAAGGUUUUGAAGGGUAGCCGGCAUGGGAGGGGUACCGGCGACAUGAGGACUAAGAGACGGCGCAGAAUGGUACGGGAGGCAGCAGUGGAGAAUCUUACACAGUGAGCGGAAGCCUGAGACGGAAACGCCGCGAGCGGGAUGACGGGUUUCGAGUUGUAAACAGCUUUGGACUGUGACGUGGCGGGAGUGACGGUAAUUGAUCAAGAAGCACCGGCUAACUACGUG
rnacentral:rRNA from 1 species